rnacentral:rRNA from 1 species
AUUGAACGCUGGCGGCAUGCCUUACACAUGCAAGUCGAACGGCAGCGGGGGAGAAGCUUGCUUUUCCUGCCGGCGAGUGGCGAACGGGUGAGUAAUACAUCGGAACGUGCCCUGUAGUGGGGGAUAACUAGUCGAAAGAUUAGCUAAUACCGCAUACGACCUGAGGGUGAAAGUGGGGGACCGCAAGGCCUCAUGCUAUAGGAGCGGCCGAUGUCUGAUUAGCUAGUUGGAGGGGUAAAGGCCUACCAAGGCGACGAUCAGUAGCUGGUCUGAGGAGACGAUCAGCCACACUGGGACUGAGACACGGCCCAGACUCCUACGGGAGGCAGCAGUGGGGAAUUUUGGACAAUGGGCGAAAGCCUGAUCCAGCAAUGCCGCGUGUGUGAAGAAGGCCUUCGGGUUGUAAAGCACUUUUGGCCGGGAAAAAAUCGCAUGGGCUAAUACCCUGUGUGGAUGAUGGUACCGGAAUAAGAAGCACCGGCUAACUACGUGCCAGCAGCCGCGGUAA